UUCACUGUAAAUUAAACCUAAAAUGAAACAGGAUGAGCAUUUUAUCUGUAUCUUGUCUCUGACAGGAUGGAAAGAGGAGAUUUCAAGAAGCUAUCGCCAGAAAGAAGAUCAGACUGGACAGAAAAUACAUCAUCUCCUGUAAACACACUGAAAUGCCUCUAUCUGUCCCCUGGGACCCCAGCAACCAGGUGUAUCUCAGCUACAAUAACGUGAUCGCGCUGAAGAUGCUGGCGGCCAAAAACAAGUGGGUUCUCAGCUCUAAGAAGAACAACGUGAGUGACAUGCAAUGUUAAAAAUAUAUCGUUUUCUCGUCAUUAAAAUGUUUGAGUAAAAUUA
rnacentral:lncRNA from 1 species